GGGCCGAUAGCUCAGUUGGUUAGAGCACCGCGUUUACACCGCGGGUGUCGGGGGUUCGAGUCCCUCUCGGCCCA
rnacentral:tRNA from 1 species